UACGACUACAUAUCAGGCAUAUCAAUAAGCGGAGGAAAAGAAACUAACUAGGAUUCCCUCAGUAACGGCGAGUGAAGCGGGAAGAGCUCAAAUUUGAAAUCUUCAAGGUUUUACCUUGACGAAUUGUAGUUUAAAGAAGUGUUUUCUGUUGGAGUUUUGGUAAAAGUUCUUUGGAAUAGGACAUCAUAGAGGGUGAGAAUCCCGUAUUUGACCAUCAUUUCCAGCUUUGUGAUACACUUUCAAAGAGUCGGAUUGUUUGGGAAUGCAGUCCAAAAUGGGUGGUAUUAAUAUUUCAUCUAAAGCUAAAUAUUGGCGAGAGACCGAUAGCGAACAAGUACCGUGAGGGAAAGAUGAAAAGAACUUUGAAAAGAGAGUUAAACAGUACGUGAAAUUGUCAAAAGGGAAGCGUUUGACACCAGUGUUGUUUCUACGAAAAUCAAUUUAUGAUGGCUUGAUGCUAAGCUUUAAGACUUUAUCCGCUUGUUGUUUAGUUUUCUUGUCUUUGUGAAUGCACUUUUCGUGGAACAAGUCAACAUCAAUUUCUUUUGCUGUAAAAGGGUAAGAGGAAGGUGGCUUCGGCUUCGGUUGAAGUGUUUAUAGCCUUUUAUCUCUGCAGUCGGAGAGAUUGAGGUCUGCAGCGUAGACUCUUCGGGGUUAGAUACGUCGGUGCUAAGCUAUAGCUUUUCAUAGACAACUUGUUGACUAUGUUUAGUCAUGUGGCUUACCCGCUGGCGCUAUUUUACCUACGCUUAGGAUGUUGACUGAUAUGUAGUCGUA
rnacentral:rRNA from 1 species